CGGGUGAGUAAUGUCUGGGAAACUGCCUGAUGAGGGGGAUAACUACUGGAAACGGUAGCUAAUACCGCAUAACGUCGCAAGACCAAAGAGAGGGACCUUCGGGCCUCUUGCCAUCGGAUGUGCCCAGAUGGGAUUAGCUAGUAGGUGGGGUAACGGCUCACCUAGGCGACGAUCCCUAGCUGGUCUGAGAGGAUGACCAGCCACACUGGAACUGAGACACGGUCCAG
rnacentral:rRNA from 1 species